CUUGAUAGAGAAUGGUAUCCUACAUUAGAGAGUAGAUGGUCUAUAAUCUUCCUGGCAUUGUAAAACUGAAGCUAGCUGCAGGGAAAAUAAACAUUAUAAUACCCGGCACUUAAACAAUUGCACCUAUACGGUUAAGUAACAAAAGCGUGAGGCACCUGAAAUCACAGCAUUUGUUCCUAAUGCCAGCAACAAUAUAACGCAUUCAAGUGACAUUUGAUAAUGAGCAGACAGUGGAGGCAUUACACACGUCUUUAGAAGAAUCAGACUUCCUACCUUGAAAAGACAGAUGGAGAUGAGAUUUUCCUAUGUCAUCCAGGCUGGCUUUGAACUCUUGAAUUCUUGGACUCAACGAAUCCUUGUGCCUCAGACUUCCAAAUAGCAGCUGGUACUACAGAUUGGAACACUGUCAAUAGGUGACAGGGAGCCUGCAAAAUCAUUAGCUGCACGACAGGGACAGAGUAAAUUCAAUAUAAUUACUACCAGCAUAAUUUCAACUGAUUUCUAUGAAGAAGAUUUCACAGUCACCUGAAGUCAAAGCCUGGAGCUGUCAUUAUGGAAAGCCCCCAAAAGGAGCUUGGAAAAUCUUGGGCAGAUUUCUUAAAUCUUAUGAAAAAAGAA
ensembl:lncRNA